GACGAACGCUGGCGGCGUGCUUAACACAUGCAAGUCGAACGGAGCGAAUGAAAGCUUGCUUUUAUAAGCUUAGUGGCAAACGGGUGAGUAACACGUAGGCAACCUGCCGACAGGAUGGGGACAACAUUCCGAAAGGAAUGCUAAUACCGAAUGAAGUCGAGGGAGGGCAUCCUCCUCCGAUGAAAGAUGGCCUCUAUAUAUAAGCUAUCACCUGUCGAUGGGCCUGCGUCUGAUUAGCUGGUAGGUGAGGUAACGGCUCACCUAGGCGACGAUCAGUAGCCGGUCUGAGAGGAUGAACGGCCACAUUGGGACUGAGACACGGCCCAGACUCCUACGGGAGGCAGCAGUGGGGAAUCUUCCGCAAUGGGCGCAAGCCUGACGGAGCAACGCCGCGUGAGUGAAGAAGGUCUUCGGAUCGUAAAGCUCUGUUGAUGGGGACGAACGUGCCUAAUGCGAAUAGUAUUAG
rnacentral:rRNA from 1 species